ACUCCUACGGGAGGCUGCAGUGGGGAAUAUUGCACAAUGGGCGGAAGCCUGAUGCAGCGACGCCGCGUGAGGGAUGACGGCCUUCGGGUUGUAAACCUCUUUCAGUAGGGAAGAAGCGUAAGUGACGGUACCUGCAGAAGAAGCGCCGGCUAACUACGUGCCAGCAGCCGCGGUAAUACGUAGGGCGCAAGCGUUAUCCGGAAUUAUUGGGCGUAAAGAGCUCGUAGGCGGUUUGUCGCGUCUGCCGUGAAAGUCCGGGGCUCAACUCCGGAUCUGCGGUGGGUACGGGCAGACUAGAGUGAUGUAGGGGAGACUGGAAUUCCUGGUGUAGCGGUGAAAUGCGCAGAUAUCAGGAGGAACACCGAUGGCGAAGGCAGGUCUCUGGGCAUUAACUGACGCUGAGGAGCGAAAGCAUGGGGAGCGAACAGGAUUAGAUACCCUGGUAGUCCAUGCCGUAAACGUUGGGCACUAGGUGUGGGGGACAUUCCACGUUUUCCGUACCGUAGCUAACGCAUUAAGUGCCCCGCCUGGGGAGUACGGCCGCAAGGCUAAAACUCAAAGGAAUUGACGGGGGCCCGCACAAAGCGGCGGAGCAUGCGGAUUAAUUCGAUGCAAC
rnacentral:rRNA from 1 species